rnacentral:miRNA from 1 species
UGUCAAGCUAUUCUAAAAAGGUCACAAUCAACAUUCAUUGCUGUCGGUGGGUUUAACUCUGUGGACAAGCUCACUGAACAAUGAAUGCAACUGUGGCCCCACUU